GUGCUCACUUUGGCAGCACAUACUAAAAUUGGAACGAGACAGAGAAGAUUAGCAUGGCCCUGCGCAAGGUGGACACGCAUAUUUGUGAAGCGUUCCAUAUUUUU
rnacentral:snRNA from 1 species